CAGAGGUGGAGGACGCGGCUGGGGCGAGCGGUAGGGGGUGGGCGGUGUGCGGAAUUGCUUGGCGUGAGAGGUGCGGUGGGGGUUUGUCAGGUCGUCGGUGAAAGUCCGGGUGUGAACUCCGGGCGUGCAGGCGAUACGGGCAUAACUUGAGUACUGUAUGGGAGACUGGAAUUCCUGGUGGAGCGGUGAGAUGCGCAGAUAUCAGGAGGAACACCGGUGGCGAAGGCGGGUCUCUGGGCAGUAACUGACGCUGAGGAGCGAAAGCAUGGGUAGCGAACAGGAUUAGAUACCCGGGUAGUC
rnacentral:rRNA from 1 species